UACGUAGGGUGCAAGCGUUGUCCGGAAUUAUUGGGCGUAAAGAGCUUGUAGGCGGUUUGUCGCGUCUGCUGUGAAAUUUCGGGGCUCAACCCCGAACUUGCAGUGGGUACGGGCAGACUAGAGUGUGGUAGGGGGAGACUGGAAUUCCUGGUGUAGCGGUGAAAUGCGCAGAUAUCAGGAGGAACACCAGCGGCGAAGGCGGCGCUCUGGGCCGGUACUGACACUGAGGAGCGAAAGCGUGGGGAGCAAACAGG
rnacentral:rRNA from 1 species